rnacentral:rRNA from 1 species
AUUGAACGCUGGCGGCAGGCCUAACACAUGCAAGUCGAGCGGAGCGGCGGACGGGUGAGUAAUGCCUAGGAAGCUGCCCGGUAGUGGGGGAUAACGUCCGGAAACGGGCGCUAAUACCGCAUAAUAUCAGAUGAGCCUAGGUCGGAUUAGCUAGUUGGGGGGGUAAAGGCCUACAAAGGCGACGAUCCGUAACUGGGCUGAGAGGAUGAUCAGUCAAACUGGAACUGAGACACGGUCCAGACUCCUACGGGAGGCAGCAGUGGGGAAUAUUGGACAAUGGGCGAAAGUCUGAUCCAGCCAUGCCGCGUGUGUGAAGAAGGUCUUCGGAUUGUAAAGCACUUUAGGUUGGGAGGCGUUACCAACAGAGUAAGCACCGGCUAACUUCGUGCCAGCAGCCGCGGUAAUAC